rnacentral:rRNA from 1 species
AUAAUGACUCUCGGCAACGGAUAUCUCGGCUCUCGCAUCGAUGAAGAACGUAGCGAAAUGCGAUACUUGGUGUGAAUUGCAGAAUCCCGUGAACCAUCGAGUCUUUGAACGCAAGUWGCGCCCGAAGCCUUCUGGCCGAGGGCACGUCUGCCUGGGCGUCACGCA